CCUACGGGGGGCUGCAGUGGGGAAUUUUGGACAAUGGGGGCAACCCUGAUCCAGCCAUGCCGCGUGAGUGAAGAAGGCCUUCGGGUUGUAAAGCUCUUUCGGCCGGGAAGAAAUCGCUCAAGCUAAUACCUUGGGUGGAUGACGGUACCGGAAGAAGAAGCACCGGCUAACUACGUGCCAGCAGCCGCGGUAAUACGUAGGGUGCGAGCGUUAAUCGGAAUUACUGAGCGUACGCCGUGCGAAGGCGGCGAACUCCCCGGGCUUAAACUGGGAACUGCGUUUGUGACUGUGGGGGUCGAGUGCGGCAGAGGGGGGUGGAAUUCCACGUGUAGCAGUGAAAUGCGUAGAGAUGUGGAGGAACACCGAUGGCGAAGGCAGCCCCCUGGGUCGACACUGACGCUCAUGCACGAAAGCGUGGGGAGCAAACAGGAUUAGAUACCCCGGUAGUC
rnacentral:rRNA from 1 species